rnacentral:rRNA from 1 species
CCUACGGGAGGCAGCAGUGAGGAAUAUUGGUCAAUGGACGAGAGUCUGAACCAGCCAAGUAGCGUGAAGGAUGACUGCCCUAUGGGUUGUAAACUUCUUUUAUAUGGGAAUAAAAUGUUCCACGUGUGGGAUUUUGUAUGUACCAUAUGAAUAAGGAUCGGCUAACUCCGUGCCAGCAGCCGCGGUAAUACGGAGGAUCCGAGCGUUAUCCGGAUUUAUUGGGUUUAAAGGGAGCGUAGGUGGAUUGUUAAGUCAGUUGUGAAAGUUUGCGGCUCAACCGUAAAAUUGCAGUUGAAACUGGCAGUCUUGAGUACAGUAGAGGUGGGCGGAGUUCGUGGUGUAGCGGUGAAAUGCUUAGAUAUCACGAAGAACUCCGAUUGCGAAGGCAGUUCACUGGACUGCAACUGACACUGAGGCUCGAAAGUGUGGGUAUCAAACAGGAUUAGAUACCCCUGUAGUC